AUUUUGGCAUGAUGCUUGGGACCUAUCCUGGCUCAUCUCUUCUUUCUGGAGGAACAGAAACAGUAUCUGUGCAACCUGACCUGGACAGUGCCAAGCUGCGGAGAGACGCUGGCCGCUUCCCUCUCUCGGACCUCUCUCUGAACCUCAAGGGUAUAGUGGUGACCUUUGAGGACGUAGCUGUGUAUUUUACGGAGAAGGAGUGGACUCUGCUGGAUCCGGCCAAAGGGCUCUCCACAGGGACGUCAUGGAGGAGAAUUGGGCCAAUCUGGUCUCCCUAGCUACUGAUAUGGAAGGAAAGAAGAGUGAGAAAGAAAUAAAAAGCCACUCCCUGGGAACAGCCAUUAAUAAAAAGCAGAAACACGGCCCGAAAAGCACUAAUAACAAGAAGGGGAAAGAAACAAAUUGUCCAGUGGUCUCCACCGAGCAAGAACAGUAUGCAUCGGCUUUGAUUUAUCUGCUGGGCACUGACUUCAUUAACCGACAUGGCGAAGCAGGACAGUUCAUCUAUUAUCUGCGCCGAAAGCGUGCGGGAGCGAGGCAGACGUGGAUUCCUGGUUGGAUUCAUUACAAAUGCAAAAAGUUGACCCUGAACAAUCUGGGGCUUCAGUGAAGCAAGAAGCCAAUAAUGGCUUGAGGCUCGGACUCAGAACUACAUUCUUCCAUACUCACGUACAGAUGCUUCUCAUUUCACUUUUCUUCGUGUAAUUUUUACUUUUGCAGAUUCCAACUGCUCUGGGGCCUUUUCAGCUAGAGAGCUGGUGAAAGGUUAGGGGCAGAUGUAGUGAUUUAUAACAGGCUACCCACGGCUGAUUUUGCACAACUAAUGUUAUGAUACUUAAUACAGGCUUACACUUUUCAUUUCGUCAUGGCAUUGCAUUGUGUUAAUUGAUUUUCCUUUGAUUUCUUUUGUAAUCUUAUUCCCUGUUCACCUGAUGUGAUUUAAAUAAAACUUUUCCUUUAUUAUACCUGCCGGUGGCU
rnacentral:lncRNA from 1 species